AGGGCGCACGGUGGAUGCCUUGGCACUAGAAGCCGAUGAAGGACGUUACUAACGACGAUAUGCUUUGGGGAGCUGUAAGUAAGCUUUGAUCCAGAGAUUUCCGAAUGGGGAAACCCAGCAUGAGUUAUGUCAUGUUAUCGAUAUGUGAAUACAUAGCAUAUCAGAAGGCACACCCGGAGAACUGAAACAUCUUAGUACCCGGAGGAAGAGAAAGAAAAUUCGAUUCCCUUAGUAGCGGCGAGCGAAACGGGAAGAGCCCAAACCAACAAGCUUGCUUGUUGGGGUUGUAGGACACUCUAUACGGAGUUACAAAGGACGACAUUAGACGAAUCAUCUGGAAAGAUGAAUCAAAGAAGGUAAUAAUCCUGUAGUCGAAAAUGUUGUCUCUCUUGAGUGGAUCCUGAGUACGACGGAGCACGUGAAAUUCCGUCGGAAUCUGGGAGGACCAUCUCCUAAGGCUAAAUACUCUCUAGUGACCGAUAGUGAACCAGUACCGUGAGGGAAAGGUGAAAAGCACCCCGGAAGGGGAGUGAAAUAGAACCUGAAACCGUGUGCUUACAAGUAGUCAGAGCCCGUUAAUGGGUGAUGGCGUGCCUUUUGUAGAAUGAACCGGCGAGUUACGAUUUGAUGCAAGGUUAAGCAGUAAAUGUGAAGCCGUAGCGAAAGCGAGUCUGAAUAGGGCGUUUAGUAUUUGGUCGUAGACCCGAAACCAGGUGAUCUACCCUUGGUCAGGUUGAAGUUCAGGUAACACUGAAUGGAGGACCGAACCGACUUACGUUGAAAAGUGAGCGGAUGAACUGAGGGUAGCGGAGAAAUUCCAAUCGAACCUGGAGAUAGCUGGUUCUCUCCGAAAUAGCUUUAGGGCUAGCCUCAAGUGAUGAUUAUUGGAGGUAGAGCACUGUUUGGACGAGGGGCCCCUCUCGGGUUACCGAAUUCAGACAAACUCCGAAUGCCAAUUAAUUUAACUUGGGAGUCAGAACAUGGGUGAUAAGGUCCGUGUUCGAAAGGGAAACAGCCCAGACCACCAGCUAAGGUCCCAAAAUAUAUGUUAAGUGGAAAAGGAUGUGGCGUUGCCCAGACAACUAGGAUGUUGGCUUAGAAGCAGCCAUCAUUUAAAGAGUGCGUAAUAGCUCACUAGUCGAGUGACACUGCGCCGAAAAUGUACCGGGGCUAAACAUAUUACCGAAGCUGUGGAUUGUCCUUUGGACAAUGGUAGGAGAGCGUUCUAAGGGCGUUGAAGCAUGAUCGUAAGGACAUGUGGAGCGCUUAGAAGUGAGAAUGCCGGUGUGAGUAGCGAAAGACGGGUGAGAAUCCCGUCCACCGAUUGACUAAGGUUUCCAGAGGAAGGCUCGUCCGCUCUGGGUUAGUCGGGUCCUAAGCUGAGGCCGACAGGCGUAGGCGAUGGAUAACAGGUUGAUAUUCCUGUACCACCUAUAAUCGUUUUAAUCGAUGGGGGGACGCAGUAGGAUAGGCGAAGCGUGCGAUUGGAUUGCACGUCUAAGCAGUAAGGCUGAGUAUUAGGCAAAUCCGGUACUCGUUAAGGCUGAGCUGUGAUGGGGAGAAGACAUUGUGUCUUCGAGUCGUUGAUUUCACACUGCCGAGAAAAGCCUCUAGAUAGAAAAUAGGUGCCCGUACCGCAAACCGACACAGGUAGUCAAGAUGAGAAUUCUAAGGUGAGCGAGCGAACUCUCGUUAAGGAACUCGGCAAAAUGACCCCGUAACUUCGGGAGAAGGGGUGCUCUUUAGGGUUAACGCCCAGAAGAGCCGCAGUGAAUAGGCCCAAGCGACUGUUUAUCAAAAACACAGGUCUCUGCUAAACCGUAAGGUGAUGUAUAGGGGCUGACGCCUGCCCGGUGCUGGAAGGUUAAGAGGAGUGGUUAGCUUCUGCGAAGCUACGAAUCGAAGCCCCAGUAAACGGCGGCCGUAACUAUAACGGUCCUAAGGUAGCGAAAUUCCUUGUCGGGUAAGUUCCGACCCGCACGAAAGGCGUAACGAUUUGGGCACUGUCUCAACGAGAGACUCGGUGAAAUCAUAGUACCUGUGAAGAUGCAGGUUACCCGCGACAGGACGGAAAGACCCCGUGGAGCUUUACUGUAGCCUGAUAUUGAAAUUCGGCACAGCUUGUACAGGAUAGGUAGGAGCCUUUGAAACGUGAGCGCUAGCUUACGUGGAGGCGCUGGUGGGAUACUACCCUAGCUGUGUUGGCUUUCUAACCCGCACCACUUAUCGUGGUGGGAGACAGUGUCAGGCGGGCAGUUUGACUGGGGCGGUCGCCUCCUAAAAGGUAACGGAGGCGCUCAAAGGUUCCCUCAGAAUGGUUGGAAAUCAUUCAUAGAGUGUAAAGGCAUAAGGGAGCUUGACUGCGAGACCUACAAGUCGAGCAGGGUCGAAAGACGGACUUAGUGAUCCGGUGGUUCCGCAUGGAAGGGCCAUCGCUCAACGGAUAAAAGCUACCCCGGGGAUAACAGGCUUAUCUCCCCCAAGAGUUCACAUCGACGGGGAGGUUUGGCACCUCGAUGUCGGCUCAUCGCAUCCUGGGGCUGUAGUCGGUCCCAAGGGUUGGGCUGUUCGCCCAUUAAAGCGGUACGCGAGCUGGGUUCAGAACGUCGUGAGACAGUUCGGUCCCUAUCCGUCGUGGGCGUAGGAAAUUUGAGAGGAGCUGUCCUUAGUACGAGAGGACCGGGAUGGACAUACCUCUGGUGUACCAGUUGUCGUGCCAACGGCAUAGCUGGGUAGCUAUGUGUGGACGGGAUAAGUGCUGAAAGCAUCUAAGCAUGAAGCCCCCCUCAAGAUGAGAUUUCCCAACUUCGGUUAU
rnacentral:rRNA from 1 species